UGUAAUCGCUGUAGCAAUACAGAGGAAAGUCCAUGCUCACACUAGCUGAGAUGCUUGUAGUGUUCAUGCUUGACGAAGUCAUAAGUCAAGGUAGUCUAUAGACUAACGGCAGGAAAUAUUCCUAAGUUCAUCAUUGAAUAUGGAAUAUUAUACUUGAAAGUGCCACAGUGACGUAGCUAUAUUGGAAACAAUAUAGGUGGAACGGGUAAACCCCAUGAGUGAGCAACCCAAACGAUGGUAGGGGCAUCCUUUAGUAGGGAAAUGAACCGAAAAAGGGACAGAUGAUAAUCUGUAGAUAGAUGAUUACAACCUUAGUACGAGGCUAACCACCAUUUGCAGUACGAUGGAACAGAACAUGGCUUAUC
rnacentral:RNase_P_RNA from 1 species